rnacentral:piRNA from 1 species
UUGGCUGUAAGUUUGUCAUAUUAUGGUAUC